CUACGGGCUGCUCCAGGCGCGAAACCUUUACAAUGCACGCAAGUGUGAUAAGGGGAUCCCAAGUGCUAUAGUUUUACUAUGGCUUUUGCCAAGAGUAAAUAUCUUGGCGAAUAAGUGGUGGGUAAGACUUGUGCCAGCCGCCGCGGUAACACCAGCGCCACAAGUGGCAAUCGCUUUUAUUGGGCCUAAAGCGUCCGUAGCCGGCCUUGUAAAUUUUCUGUGAAAUCGUUGCACUCAAUGUAACGACGUGCAGAGAACACUGCGAGGCUAGGGACCGGGAGGCGUCAGAGGUAUUCUUGAGGGAGCGGUAAAAUGCUAUAAUCUCAAGAGGACCCCCUGUGGCGAAGGCGUCUGACGAGAACGGAUCCGACGGUGAGGGACGAAAGCCAGGGGAGCGAACCGGAUUAGAUACCCCUGUAGUC
rnacentral:rRNA from 1 species